rnacentral:rRNA from 1 species
GGCCCAGACUCCUACGGGAGGCAGCAGUGGGGGAUAUUGCACAAUGGGGGGAACCCUGAUGCAGCGACGCCGCGUGGGUGAAGGAGCGUUUCGGCGCGUAAAGCCCUAUCGGCAGGGAAGAAGGAGGACGGUACCUGACUAAGAAGCCCCGGCUAACUACGUGCCAGCAGCCGCGGUAAUACGUAGGGGGCAAGCGUUAUCCGGAUUUACUGGGUGUAAAGGGGGCGCAGACGGCGGCGCAAGCCAGGAGUGAAAGCCCGGGGCCCAACCCCGGGACUGCUCUUGGAACUGCGCGGCUGGAGUGCAGGAGGGGCAGGCGGAAUUCCUGGUGUAGCGGUGAAAUGCGUAGAUAUUAGGAGGAACACCAGUGGCGAAGGCGGCUUUCUGGCUCAUAACUGACGCUGAGGCGCGAAAGCGUGGGGAGCAAACAGGAUUAGAUACCCGGGUA